UCUGAUGAAGUGAGGUAGCAUUAGUCUGAUGAAGUGAGGUAGCAUUAGUCUGAUGAAGUGAGGUAGCAUUAUUCUGACGAAGUGAGGUAGCAUUAGCGUUAUCCAACAUGCUACGAGCUACAUGAAGAUCCAAUGAGUUGAACACACAUUCUCAAACACACUGAAGAUCAAGAGCGAAACAAUGACAAA